rnacentral:rRNA from 1 species
GGUGAACGCUGGCGGCGUGCCUAACACAUGCAAGUCGAGCGGUGCAGUUUGAAGCUUCGGUGGAAAGCUGCAUAGCGGCGGACGGGUGAGGAAAACGUAGGAACGUGCCCCUUGGAGUUGGAUAGCCACGGGAAACUGUGGGUAAACCGACAUAGACUCGAGAGAGUAAAGGCCGAAAGGCGCCAAGGGAGCGGCCUGCGGCCCAUCAGGUAGUUGGUAGUGUAAAGGACUACCAAGCCGACGACGGGUAGCCGGUCUGAGAGGAUGGCCGGCCACAAGGGCACUGAGAGACGGGCCCUACUCCUACGGGAGGCAGCAGUGGGGGAUUUGGACAAUGGGCGAAAGCCUGAUCCAGCGACGCCGCGUGGAGGACGAAGCCCUUCGGGGUGUAAACUUCUGAACUAGCCGAAUAAAAGGCCUGUGGACACACAGGAGAAGAAAGUAGGCUAAGGAAAAGUCCCGGCUAACUACGUGCCAGCAGCCGCGGGUAAUGAGUAGUACA